AUUGAACGCUGGCGGCAGGCCUAACACAUGCAAGUCGAGCGGUAGCACAGAGAGCUUGCUCUCGGGUGACGAGCGGCGGACGGGUGAGUAAUGUCUGGGAAACUGCCUGAUGGAGGGGGAUAACUACUGGAAACGGUAGCUAAUACCGCAUAACGUCGCAAGACCAAAGUGGGGGACCUUCGGGCCUCAUGCCAUCAGAUGUGCCCAGAUGGGAUUAGCUAGUAGGUGGGGUAAUGGCUCACCUAGGCGACGAUCCCUAGCUGGUCUGAGAGGAUGACCAGCCACACUGGAACUGAGACACGGUCCAGACUCCUACGGGAGGCAGCAGUGGGGAAUAUUGCACAAUGGGCGCAAGCCUGAUGCAGCUAUGCCGCGUGUGUGAAGAAGGCCUUCGGGUUGUAAAGCACUUUCAGCGGGGAGGAAGGCGGUGAGGUUAAUAACCUCAUCGAUUGACGUUACCCGCAGAAGAAGCACCGGCUAACUCCGUGCCAGCAGCCGCGGUAAUACGGAGGGUGCAAGCGUUAAUCGGAAUUACUGGGCGUAAAGCGCACGCAGGCGGUCUGUCAAGUCGGAUGUGAAAUCCCCGGGCUCAACCUGGGAACUGCAUUCGAAACUGGCAGGCUAGAGUCUUGUAGAGGGGGGUAGAAUUCCAGGUGUAGCGGUGAAAUGCGUAGAGAUCUGGAGGAAUACCGGUGGCGAAGGCGGCCCCCUGGACAAAGACUGACGCUCAGGUGCGAAAGCGUGGGGAGCAAACAGGAUUAGAUACCCUGGUAGUCCACGCCGUAAACGAUGUCGAUUUGGAGGUUGUGCCCUUGAGGCGUGGCUUCCGGAGCUAACGCGUUAAAUCGACCGCCUGGGGAGUACGGCCGCAAGGUUAAAACUCAAAUGAAUUGACGGGGGCCCGCACAAGCGGUGGAGCAUGUGGUUUAAUUCGAUGCAACGCGAAGAACCUUACCUGGUCUUGACAUCCACAGAACUUUCCAGAGAUGGAUUGGUGCCUUCGGGAACUGUGAGACAGGUGCUGCAUGGCUGUCGUCAGCUCGUGUUGUGAAAUGUUGGGUUAAGUCCCGCAACGAGCGCAACCCUUAUCCUUUGUUGCCAGCGGUCCGGCCGGGAACUCAAAGGAGACUGCCAGUGAUAAACUGGAGGAAGGUGGGGAUGACGUCAAGUCAUCAUGGCCCUUACGACCAGGGCUACACACGUGCUACAAUGGCAUAUACAAAGAGAAGCGACCUCGCGAGAGCAAGCGGACCUCAUAAAGUAUGUCGUAGUCCGGAUUGGAGUCUGCAACUCGACUCCAUGAAGUCGGAAUCGCUAGUAAUCGUAGAUCAGAAUGCUACGGUGAAUACGUUCCCGGGCCU
rnacentral:rRNA from 1 species